rnacentral:rRNA from 1 species
UAGUCUGUGCUCGACGUCGCAAGCGCUCCGGCCUAUGAUGGCUUCGGCCCGAUUAAGAUGAACGUGGUAAACGGCACCUCGAUAUCGUACGGUUGGAGAAGCAGAGCCCGAGACGAUCAGACAAGAUACCGCCUACGGGGCAGCAGCGCGAAACCUUUACACUGCAGACAGUGCGAUAGGGACUCAAGUGCGAGGGCAUAUAAGUCUCGCUUUUUCACGACCCGUAAGUGUCGUAGAAUAAGUGCUGGGCAAGACCGGUGCCAGGCGCCGCGGUAAUACCGGCAGCACGAGUGAUGACCGCUAUUAUUGGCCUAAAGCGUCCGUAGCUGGCCUCGCAAGUCCAUCGGGAAAUCUGUCCGCUUAACGGACAGGCGUCCGGUGGAAACUGCGUGGCUUGGGACCGGAAGAUCCAGAGGGUACGUCUGGGGUAGGAGUGAAAUCCCGUAAUCCUGGACGGACCGCCGGUGGCGAAAGCGCUCUGGAAAGACGGAUCCGACGGUGAGGGACGAAAGCUCGGGUCACGAACCGGAUUAGAUACCCGGGUAGUCCGAGCUGUAAACGAUGUCUGCUAGGUGUGACACAGGCUACGAGCCUGUGUUGUGCCGUAGGGAAGCCGUGAAGCAGACCGCCUGGGAAGUACGUCCGCAAGGAUGAAACUUAAAGGAAUUGGCGGGGGAGCACUACAACCGGAGGAGCCUGCGGUUUAAUUGGACUCAACGCCGGACAUCUCACCAGCAUCGACAACGUGCCGUGAAGGUCAGUGUGAUGAGCUUACUGGAGCCGUUGAGAGGAGGUGCAUGGCCGCCGUCAGCUCGUACCGUGAGGCGUCCUGUUAAGUCAGGCAACGAGCGAGACCCGCACUCCUAAUUGCCAGCAACACCCUUGUGGUGGUUGGGUACAUUAGGAGGACUGCCAGUGCCAAACUGGAGGAAGGAACGGGCAACGGUAGGUCAGUAUGCCCCGAAUGUGCUGGGCGACACGCGGGCUACAAUGGCCAAGACAGUGGGACGCAACCCCGAAAGGGGACGCUAAUCUCCGAAACUUGGUCGUAGUUCGGAUUGAGGGCUGAAACUCGCCCUCAUGAAGCUGGAUUCGGUAGUAAUCGCGCCUCAGAAGGGCGCGGUGAAUACGUCCCUGCUCCUUGCACACACCGCCCGUCAAAGCACCCGAGUGAGG